AAGGGUUCUGUCUCAUAUAGGA
rnacentral:rRNA from 1 species